CUACCAAGUCAUGCUCAUCGAGUUUGCUACCGAUAUCCCAAAGAAGCUACCUUACCCAACAUGUCAGCCUUGGAUUGGGAUGAAUUGAUAUGGUUUCCCACGUCACCUCCUCUUUGACAAGUCUGGUGCAUCCAAUUCGAACCAUCUUCCUACCUGUAAACUGCCGACAACAGGCCGCGAUUGCUAAUAGUAUUUGGUUUGGCUCAUUAAGGGAAGGAUGGUGCACCCUACCCCACCCUACCCUACUCCGAGCACGGAUGACAUUGCAAGUCUCAUUCGACGCUACGGUAAGCGAAACUCGUGGACGUCGUUUGCCACAUCUCCG
rnacentral:lncRNA from 1 species